UACGUAGGUGGCGAGCGUUGUCCGGAUUUACUGGGCGUAAAGGGCGUGCAGGCGGUUUGUUAAGUGCAGGGUGAAAGCUCCCGGCUCAACUGGGAGAGGUCCUUGCAUACUGGCGAACUCGAGGGAGGCAGAGGAAAGUGGAAUUCCCGGUGUAGUGGUGAUAUGCGUAGAUAUCGGGAGGAACACCGGUGGCGAAGGCGGCUCGCUGGGCUGUUGCUGACGCUGAGGCGCGAAAGCGUGGGGAGCAAACAGG
rnacentral:rRNA from 1 species